UGUCUCAUGCACCCCCUCCCAUCACCCUCCCUCCUCCAUCCAUCCCUAACGCCUCCCUCCCUCCGUGCUUUCCUUCUUCACCCCCCAGCUCCGUCUAUCAUGUGCUUGGGAUAUGAUCAGACUUUGCUCAGAGCGGCUGCAGCAUGCGCCAAAUGCAGGCUAUUCUACAAGGUGCCUGCCCCCCUCCCUCAUCUAUUUUAAUAAUACGCGGGCUGGCUGUCUAGGAUAUUUGAGGGGAAUUGUAUGACGACGUGUUCGGAGCCAACAUGGGGCGACUUCUUUUUAUUCACCUUUAUAUACGGAAUGAUGGACAACUGGAUCUGUGGGGCACUCCAAAAAGCAGAAGAUGGACAAUAACAUGAUGUUUGGGAUUUUCUUUUUACUGGAUUUGCCUGAGGCUUAAUGAAGACUUCAGAGAGAGUGACCUGGAAACAAAUGCCCUAACCUAUUGAUGGCAGUCUUAAGGCUAAAACGUCAAGGAUAUUCAGCAGAUUGAAAAGGGAUGUCCCUGCUGCUCAACACCUAGGAGAGUGGAUCCUUCCAAGACCUGCCAAAUCAUUUUGUUUUCACAUCAGCUUGUUAUAGUGAUUGAACAACAUAUUGCAAGCCUGUAGCUGAUGAGAAUCUGUUUUUAUUUCCCUUGUAAAUGCAUCUGGUUGUGCCUUUUGACAGGUAAAUAAAAUAUUUUAAGACUAGAGAUGUUUGGUGUGAGUUAUUUUCUUGUUUGGUUGCUGGUAAAGAACAAUGAGCUUGACAUAAUUGGGUCCUGUUUGCUGAUGACAGGAGCAUGCCUGCUGAUAAAAGCUGGCAGCUUGAUCAAAGCAUCCGCAUCAAAAUGAUGCUCCCGACACAGUUUGAGUUGUAUCCUGAAAAAAGAAGGAAAUCCUGCUUGUGCACAAUAAAUCCCUUGCCUUGUAAAUCAAAUGUACCUGUAUGUGCAAUAUGAGCAACACCAUCUGAAUCUUUUCCUCUGGUGUUGCCAAUCAGAUGCAUAUAUAUUUCAUUGCGUUUGCUUCAUGUUUUUGGGCGGGGGAAAAGAAAAAUAUGACACAAUUCAAUCUAAGACCAUCAAAAGUAGGUUUGAGAAAUUGUUUCUUGUGAGAAAGAUGUAUAAUUUCUCCUGAUCUUCUCUCCAUUCAUCUUCAUGUGCCUCUUCAUUUCCUUUCUCCUUUUCCCAGCCAUAUUACUCUCCCUGUAGCUCUCUACUUAACAUUCAUUCUCACUAUUCUUCUCCUUCUUAGCACCGUCUUCAUUUCCUUUAGCGACAUUACUCCACCCUUCUUUUUCAACAACUGUUGCCCCCCCACACCUUUCUCUCCCUCGCUUGUCUUCCUCUCACAUGUCACAUCAGACGCUCUUGUCUUCCGCUUGCCCUGUCAUCACAUUUUUCACACAGCACCAUCCCUUAAUUGGGCCUGUAUCAUCAUAUUGUGUGGAAUAUGGGAUGAAAGAUGGCCUCCACCUAUAGCCCUCCUCUGCGCACGCACGCACACACACACACACACACACAUACACAGGUAUGUAGCCAUGAUCACACAAACAAGCAUAUCGGUGGCCAAGCUGAUUCCGCUGCCGAAAGCUGUACGCAUUUUUUACACCACAUGUUUGCAGCAAGUUGUCAGUGGCAUGACAGGUGAGAUGGUGUGGUGUUCCCACAGUGUCCAAUGAUGUUUGGCGGCUUUUGUGAUGAGACAAAGGAUGCCCUCGAGCCAGCAGUCACAUUUGCAGGUAACAGGAAAAAGAAGCGGAAUAAUCCACAGAAGGUGUCCCAAGGGUGUCCAAAUAUGUCAGACAAGCAUCAAUGUUGUAUCUACAACAAUCUGAUGGGAAGGAUAAUGGGUAAAAAUCUAUUAGAUAUUAGUGUUAUUAAGUAUAACACUAUGCAUACAAGGGGUGACGACAAAACGUGACGAGGUUUCUCGUUUGGAGA